CGCACGGGUGAGUAACACGUAUGCAACCUGCCCUCUUCAGGGGGACAACCUUCCGAAAGGGAGGCUAAUCCCGCGUAUAUCGGUUUCGGGCAUCCGAGAUCGAGGAAAGAUUCAUCGGAAGAGGAUGGGCAUGCGGCGCAUUAGCUAGACGGCGGGGUAACGGCCCACCGUGGCGACGAUGCGUAGGGGUUCUGAGAGGAAGGUCCCCCACACUGGUACUGAGACACGGACCAGACUCCUACGGGAGGCAGCAG
rnacentral:rRNA from 1 species